rnacentral:rRNA from 1 species
UGGGGGAUAUUGCACAAUGGGCGAAAGCCUGAUGCAGCGACGCCGCGUGGGGGAUGAAGGCCUUCGGGUUGUAAACUUCUUUUGCUCUGAACAAGGCGCACCAUGGGGUGUGUUGAGUGUAGGGGUUGAUUAGCGCCGCCUAACUACGUGCCAGCAGCCGCGGUAAUACGUAGGGCGCGAGCGUUGUCCGGAAUUAUUGGGCGUAAAGGGCUUGUAGGUGGCUGGUUGCGUCUGUCGUGAAAGCUCAUGGCUUAACUGUGGGUUUGCGGUGGGUACGGGCUGGCUUGAGUGCAGUAGGGGAGGCUGGAAUUCCUGGUGUAGCGGUGGGAUGCGCAGAUAUCAGGAGGAAUACCGGUGGCGAAGGCGGGUCUCUGGGCUGUUACUGACACUGAGGAGCGAGAGCAUGGGGAGCGAACAGG